ACAAGCGGUGGAGUAUGUGGUUUAAUUCGAUGCAACGCGAAGAACCUUACCUGGUCUUGACAUCCCGGAGACCCUUAGGAAACUAGGGGUGCUUCCAUCUGGAAGAAUCUGGAGACAGGUGCUGCAUGGCUGUCGUCAGCUCGUGUCGUGAGAUGUUGGGUUAAGUCCCGCAACGAGCGCAACCCUUGCCUUUAGUUGCCAGCAGUUCGGCUGGGCACUCUAAAGGGACUGCCGGUGUUAAACCGGAGGAAGGUGGGGAUGACGUCAAGUCCUCAUGGCCUUUAUGACCAGGGCUACACACGUACUACAAUGGCCGAUACAAAGGGCAGCGACACUGCGAGGUGAAGCCAAUCCCGUAAAAUCGGUCUCAGUCCGGAUUGGAGUCUGCAACUCGACUCCAUGAAGUUGGAUUCGCUAGUAAUCGCGCAUCAGCCAUGGCGCGGUGAAUACGUUCCCGGGCCUU
rnacentral:rRNA from 1 species